rnacentral:rRNA from 1 species
UACGUAGGGGGCAAGCGUUGUCCGGAAUCAUUGGGCGUAAAGCGCGUGUAGGCGGCCAGGUAAGUCCGUUCUGAAAGCCCGGGGCUCAACCCCGGGAGGCGGAUGGAUACUGCUUGGCUCGAGUCCGGAAGAGGCGAGUGGAAUUCCCGGUGUAGCGGUGAAAUGCGCAGAUAUCGGGAGGAACACCGGUGGCGAAGGCGGAUCUCUGGGCCUGUCCUGACGCUCAGGCGCGAAAGCUAGGGGAGCGAACAGG